rnacentral:tRNA from 1 species
CCCGCUGUAGCUCAAUGGCAGAGCGAUCGGCUGUAGACCGAUAGGUUGUGUGUUCGACUCACACCAGCGGGA